CUGGCUCAGGAUGAACGCUAGCUACAGGCUUAACACAUGCAAGUCGAGGGGCAGCAUGGAGUUGCUUGCAAACUCUGAUGGCGACCGGCGCACGGGUGAGUAACGCGUAUCCAACCUUCCCUAUAGUAGAGGAUAGCCCGGCGAAAGUCGGAUUAAUACUCUAUGUUUUCCGUUGCAGACAUCUAAGAUGGAACAAAGGCUUGCCGCUAUAGGAUGGGGAUGCGUCUGAUUAGGUAGUCGGCGGGGUAACGGCCCACCGAGCCAUCGAUCAGUAGGGGUUCUGAGAGGAAGGUCCCCCCACAUUGGAACUGAGACACGGUCCAAACUCCUACGGGAGGCAGCAGUGAGGAAUAUUGGUCAAUGGGCGAGAGCCUGAACCAGCCAAGUAGCGUGCAGGAUGACGGCCCUAUGGGUUGUAAACUGCUUUUAUGCGGGGAUAAAGUUCACUACGUGUAGUGUUUUGUAGGUACCGCAUGAAUAAGGACCGGCUAAUUCCGUGCCAGCCGCGGC
rnacentral:rRNA from 1 species